AGUGGGUACGGGCAGACUWGAGUGCGGUAGGGGAGAUUGGAAWUUCCUGGUGUAGCGGUGGAAUGCGCAGAUAUCAGGAGGAACACCGAUGGCGAAGGCAGAUCUCUGGGCCGUAACUGACGCUGAGGAGCGAAAGGGGUGGGGAGCAAACAGGCUUAGAUACCCUGGUAGUCCACCCCGUAAACGUUGGGAACUAGUUGUGGGGUCCAUUCCACGGAUUCCGUGACGCAGCUAACGCAUUAAGUUCCCCGCCUGGGGAGUACGGCCGCAAGGCUAAAACUCAAAGGAAUUGACGGGGACCCGCACAAGCGGCGGAGCAUGCGGAUUAAUUCGAUGCAACGCGAAGAACCUUACCAAGGCUUGACAUAUACGAGAACGCUGCAGAAAUGUAGAACUCUUUGGACACUCGUAAACAGGUGGUGCAUGGUUGUCGUCAGCUCGUGUCGUGAGAUGUUGGGUUAAGUCCCGCAACGAGCGCAACCCUCGUUCUAUGUUGCCAGCACGUAAUGGUGGGAACUCAUGGAAUACUGCCGGGGUCAACUCGGAGGAAGGUGGGGAUGACGUCAAAUCAUCAUGCCCCUUAUGUCUUGGGCUUCACGCAUGCUACAAUGGCCGGUACAAAGGGCUGCAAUACCGUAAGGUGGAGCGAAUCCCAAAAAGCCGGUCCCAGUUCGGAUUGAGGUCUGCAACUCGACCUCAUGAAGUCGGAGUCGCUAGUAAUCGCAGAUCAGCAACGCUGCGGUGAAUACGUUCCCGGGUCUUGUACACACCGCCCGUCAAGUCAUGAAAGUCGGUAACACCUGAAGCCGGUGGCCCAACCCUUGUGGAGGGAGCCGUCGAAGGUGGGAUCGGUAAUUAGGACUAAGUCGUAACAAGGUAGC
rnacentral:rRNA from 1 species